GACGAACGCUGGCGGCGUGCCUAAUACAUGCAAGUUGAGCGAUGAAGAUUGGUGCUUGCACCAAUUUGAAGAGCAGCGAACGGGUGAGUAACGCGUGGGGAAUCUGCCUUUGAGCGGGGGACAACAUUUGGAAACGAAUGCUAAUACCGCAUAACAACUUUAAACAUAAGUUUUAAGUUUGAAAGAUGCAAUUGCAUCACUCAAAGAUGAUCCCGCGUUGUAUUAGCUAGUUGGUGAGGUAAAGGCUCACCAAGGCGAUGAUACAUAGCCGACCUGAGAGGGUGAUCGGCCACAUUGGGACUGAGACACGGCCCAAACUCCUACGGGAGGCAGCAGUAGGGAAUCUUCGGCAAUGGACGAAAGUCUGACCGAGCAACGCCGCGUGAGUGAAGAAGGUUUUCGGAUCGUAAAACUCUGUUGGUAGAGAAGAACGUUGGUGAGAGUGGAAAGCUCAUCAAGUGACGGUAACUACCCAGAAGGGGACGGCUAACUACGUG
rnacentral:rRNA from 1 species